rnacentral:rRNA from 1 species
AACGAACGCUGGCGGCAGGCUUAACACAUGCAAGUCGAGCGCCCCGCAAGGGGAGCGGCAGACGGGUGAGUAACGCGUGGGAAUCUACCGAGCCCUGCGGAAUAGCUCCGGGAAACUGGAAUUAAUACCGCAUACGCCCUACGGGGGAAAGAUUUAUCGGGGUUUGAUGAGCCCGCGUUGGAUUAGCUAGUUGGUGGGGUAAAGGCCUACCAAGGCGACGAUCCAUAGCUGGUCUGAGAGGAUGAUCAGCCACAUUGGGACUGAGACACGGCCCAAACUCCUACGGGAGGCAGCAGUGGGGAAUACUGGACAAUGGGCGCAAGCCUGAUCCAGCCAUGCCGCGUGAGUGAUGAAGGCCCUAGGGUUGUAAAGCUCUUUCAACGGUGAAGAUAAUGACGGUAACCGUAGAAGAAGCCCCGGCUAACUUCGUGCCAGCAGCCGCGGUAAGAC